rnacentral:rRNA from 1 species
GACGAACGCUGGCGGCGUGCCUAAUACAUGCAAGUAGAACGCUGAAGGAGGAGCUUGCUUCUCUGGAUGAGUUGCGAACGGGUGAGUAACGCGUAGGUAACCUGCCUGGUAGCGGGGGAUAACUAUUGGAAACGAUAGCUAAUACCGCAUAAGAGUAGAUGUUGCAUGACAUUUGCUUAAAAGGUGCAAUCGCAUCACUACCAGAUGGACCUGCGUUGUAUUAGCUAGUUGGUGAGGUAACGGCUCACCAAGGCAACGAUACAUAGCCGACCUGAGAGGGUGAUCGGCCACACUGGGACUGAGACACGGCCCAGACUCCUACGGGAGGCAGCAGUAGGGAAUCUUCGGCAAUGGACGGAAGUCUGACCGAGCAACGCCGCGUGAGUGAAGAAGGUUUUCGGAUCGUAAAGCUCUGUUGUAAGAGAAGAACGAGUGUGAGAGUGGA